UUUCGCCGAGCCGAGCCACAGCGGCCGGUCGGCGGUACGACCCUGGCCGUACGUGGCGAGAAGCGCCUGGGCCUC
rnacentral:antisense_RNA from 1 species